GAAUAUUAUGAAAAUGAUAUACAGGUGGUACAUAACCCCAGUCAAGCUUGCAAAAAUCUACCAUUUGCCCGAUAACAAAUGUUGGAAAUGUAAAGAAACUGAAGGUACAUUCUUUCACCUUUGGUGGACGUGCCCAAGGAUUAAGGUUUUCUGGGAAAUGAUUUAUAAUGAAUUAAAAAGGUAUUUAAAUAUACCUUCUUGAAGAAACCAGAGGCCUUUCUCCUGGGCAUAGUCGGCCAAUCGGUGUUAAAGAAGGACAGAACUUUCUUUAUGUAUGCUACAACAGCAGCAAGAAUACUUAUUGCAAAGCAUUGGAAGACACAAGAUCUACCCACACUGGAGGAAUGGCAGAUGAAAAUGAUGGACUACAUGGAAUUGGCGGAAAUGACUGGCAGAAUCCGAGACCAGGGAGAAGAGUCGGUGGAAGAAGAUUGGAAG